rnacentral:tRNA from 1 species
GAGGGUGUAGCUCAGUGGUAGAGCACCUGUUUAGCAUGCAUGAGCUCCUGGGUUCAAUCCCCAGUCCCUCCA